rnacentral:rRNA from 1 species
UGGGGAAUAUUGCACAAUGGGCGCAAGCCUGAUGCAGCAACGCCGCGUGAACGAUGAAGGUCUUCGGAUCGUAAAGUUCUGUUGCAGGGGAAGAUAAUGACGGUACCCUGUGAGGAAGCCCCGGCUAACUACGUGCCAGCAGCCGCGGUAAUACGUAGGGGGCUAGCGUUAUCCGGAUUUACUGGGCGUAAAGGGUGCGUAGGUGGUCUUCCAAGUCGGUGGUUAAAGGCUACGGCUCAACCGUAGUUAGCCUCCGAAACUGGAAGACUUGAGUGCAGGAGAGGAAAGUGGAAUUCCCAGUGUAGCGGUGAAAUGCGUAGAUAUUGGGAGGAACACCAGUAGCGAAGGCGGCUUUCUGGACUGCAACUGACACUGAGGCACGAAAGCGUGGGUAGCAAACAGG